CUACGGGAGGCUGCAGUGAGGAAUAUUGCACAAUGGGGGGGACCCUGAUGCAGCAACGCCGCGUGGAGGAUGACGCAUUUCGGUGUGUAAACUCCUUUUAUAUGUCAAGAAAAUGACGGUAGCAUAUGAAUAAGCACCGGCUAACUCCGUGCCAGCAGCCGCGGUAAUACGGAGGGUGCAAGCGUUACUCGGAAUCACUGGGCGUAAAGGACGCGUAGGCGGGUUGGAAAGUCAGGUGUGAAAUCCUACAGCUUAACUGUAGAACUGCACUUGAAACUUCUAAUCUAGAGUAUGGGAGGGGGAGAUGGAAUUAGUGGUGUAGGGGUAAAAUCCGUAGAUAUCACUAGGAAUACCUAAAGCGAAGGCGAUCUCCUGGAACAUUACUGACGCUAAGGCGCGAAAGCGUGGGGAGCAAACAGGAUUAGAUACCCGCGUAGUC
rnacentral:rRNA from 1 species